rfam:Moniliophthora roreri MCA 2997 sctg_0231_0001, whole genome shotgun sequence.
UCCAAUGUGGUGUAGUGGCUAACAUUGCUGUCUUUCAUGUAAGAGCACAGCAGCCCGGGGUUCGAUUCCCCGCAUUGGAA